rnacentral:rRNA from 1 species
GACGAACGCUGGCGGCGUGCUUAACACAUGCAAGUCGAACGAUGAAGAAGAGCUUGCUCUUCGGAUUAGUGGCGAACGGGUGAGUAACACGUGACUAACCUGCCCCUUUCUCUGGGAUAACGCUCCGAAAGGAGUGCUAAUACCGGAUACUCACAUCGAGGCCCAUGCAUUGAUGUGGAACGUUUUUCGGCGAGGGAUGGAGUCGCGGCCUAUCUGCUUGUUGGGGAGGGAACGGCUCACCAAGGCGACGACGGGUAGCCGGCCUGAGAGGGGGACCGGCCACACUGGGACUGAGACACGGCCCAGACUGCUACGGGAUGUAGCAGUGGGGAAUAUUGCACAAUGGGCGAAAGCCUGAUGCAGCGACGCCGCGUGAGGGAUGAAGGUCUUCGGAUUGUAAACCUCUUUCAGGAGGGACGAAGCGAAAGUGACGGUACCUAAAGAAGAAGCACCGGCUAACUACGUGCCAGCCGCCGCCGUAA